rnacentral:lncRNA from 1 species
UUUCUUUUUUUCAGCAGGGUUCAUCUGGCAGCUGCCUGAAGUUAGCAGGAGAUGAGAGAGGUAUAUGAGAAGAAAAUGCUGGAAACUGGGCCAGGGAUCAUUUUAUGACAGGAUUCACCAGAGGGUGCUAUUACACAUAACCUUCAUUUUUCUUGGCUUAGAAGAAUGGAUCCUUUUAAGGGGACGCUGAAAUAUUGCCAGUUUUAAGAUACCAACCCUUUUUCUGAGUGGGAAACUGAAAAACAAAAAACAAAAACAACAAAAAAACACAAACAGCUUUUUCCUCUUCUUCCUCCCGAUUUGAUUUGUUUAUUUGUUUGUUCAGUUGGUGGGGUUCUUUUGCUAGAACUGUCCAACAGGAACCAAAUCUUGUUGCAGUUUCCCACCUCACACCCAAAUUCUUAAUGUUUUGGGAAGGGUUCACUGAAUGUCUCUGUUCUGAGACUGAUAUAAAUAGCAAAAUUGUUUUUGCACUCCUACCUGUGUGCGGUGGGUUGGAUUUCUCCUGUGGUAGGAAACAUUUGCAUUUACUAUGGCUACAUAGAGGAAGGAUGCUGUAGUUUCCCAUCACCACCAACACAAAGACCUCUGCAGUUUUGCUUGCACAGAGAGGACUAGAUCUUAGGGACAAGGUACAAAAGCUGUCCUUGCUGCAGCAUGGGGACAAGUGGCAAUUAUGGACUUAGCCCAAAGUAGGACACACCUGUGGUUCUGCCUUCCUUGUGGAGAGAAAGAAGAUGGCAAGGAUGAGGCUGAGGGGCUGCUGUGCUUCUGCAGGUGGUGCAGCCGUGGCAAUUUGACAAGCACAGAGAGAAGCAUGUUGCAAACAACUCUCAGGCUUCCAACAGAGACCUGUUUGUUUUUCCUUGUUUAAUUUGGGAACCAUGCAUCUAAGCACACUUGGUAUGUCUCCAUGUGUAAGCCUAUACUGCAGCCUAUUGAUUUCCUUCACCCUUGGCAAGAAUAUCACAAUGGAUUUUGGCUUUGCCUGUAAUCUCUUGAGCGGAUGAGUCUAGAAAUUCAAAUGAGAGCUUAACUUGCUGACUGUCUGCACUGCCCACAUGAUGGCUGCUCUGCUCCUUUGGCUCUGGUCUGGAGCAAGUUAGCUGUCUGUUUAGGCAAGGAAACUUGGGUACAGGGCAGGCAUGACUGGUUCCCAUCUGUGCACUGGGUCUACAAAAUCUGGUUCCAGGGACUUGGCUCUGCAGACCAGAUCCGGAACAUGAGCACAUCUCCCAAAGGCUGUAUAGGUACAGGCUCUGUUAUUUUUGAUAGAUAUCUGGUUUUAAUCUGGAAGCAAGCCCUUGAAUGCAGCCACCUGGCUCCUUGACAGUACUGUGUGUUGCCUAGCAAUGUGAGGAGAAGAUACUGGAUCCAUUUCUUCCCCUAUCUGUGCCAGAACCAACCAGAGGAAAGAUAAUUUUAUGAUGAGGAAUUAACAUCUUAUUUGUGGAACGGCCUUCUUAUCACCAUAUGGCUUUAGUUGGAACAGUGGUCACCCAUGCAGUAGAAGGUUUGCAGCUUCAGUCUAUGCAUUUUGCAGAGAGUUACUUUUUGGUAAUACAGUUUUGUUUGUAGUGUGGUUGCCUCUAAGCUUUUCAAGUUGGAAGUACUGUCAGUCCUCUUAGAUUUUCCUGCCCUGAAUAAAACUAACAGUAACAAGUGAAAAUGCAGGCAAAUUUGCAUGAAGAUGAGAAAUCUUCUCCAAGUCAGCAGAUACAAAUGCACCUGGAAAUUCCAUUCCAUUAUUAAUAUGCUAAUUCAACAGAUUUUUUCCAAAUUGCAUCAUAGCUUAAGAGUCCACUGAUAUCAGUGCCCUGUGCUGUCAGCAAUGGAAGGCAAGCAGUAAUCCCAACAGUGGUGGAAUGUUUAUCGGUUUAUUUGUGAUUUCAUUUAUUUCUUAGAAGAAUCAAAAUAAUAAUACCAUCCUACAGAUACAUUUUUAGAUUCUUCUGUUUAAGGAAGCGAUGGUCUUCUUAAGUAGUGCUAUAUAUUCUGUUCUUCUCUACUUUGAGAUAUUGCCAAAGAAGAGGCUUGAGUUAACCCCUUCUUGACUGGAGGAUUUAAAAUGUCUUUUUGUGCCAUGCCUUUAGCAGAUAAGGAAAGCUUCUCCAGCAAUUAUGUGGUGUUUAAAGUCACUGAAUUAAUUGUGAAGUUGUCAGUUUGAUUUAACUGAUUGAAAACUAGAGCUCCAGCAUUCAGUGCAUGGGGGCCUGAAUCACUGGUGCAGGAGAAAGGUAGGAAAGGAGGAUGUUUGCCUCUUUCAUGUACGUCGCCAUAUGUUGCUGUCAGAGUCUGAAAUGAAAUGGCGAUCACAUGCAUCCAGGAAAUGGACCGGAAAGGGUGCUGUCAGUGAGAUUCAUUAAAUUCUCAUUCUCUUAUGUGCUAUGACCUUUCCAGUGUUUUUAGGGUGUUAAGAAACUAUAUUCCUGAAGUUGUUAUAGUGCUUAUUUUAACAGUAGUGAACACCUUCAUCUGUAACUUCUCAUGAGUUUGAAAGCUUACAUUUGGUGGUACUUAAUAAGUCUGCACAGACAACAGAAGAGACUUCAGAAGUGUAAAAGUCUUAAUUAGUUCAAUUGAUAACCACAUGGGAUAGAGACAAACAAAUGCUUUUGGAGAAGAGAGGUGAGGUUUCCAGGCAUUCUCUUUGCAAUGGGUCACUGAUUAAAUUUGCUGCCUCUCAGAACUGUGUUAAUGGAAAGCCAAAGGCUGGUAUCAGAUCCAAUAAAUUCUGUUUCAAGAAAUUGGAAUGAUCAGCUUGGUAAAGCACAAAUCAGGCUUAUCCAACCCAAUUGCCCUUUGUGAUGAAAGGUCUGACUAUGUGGAUAAGGAGAGAGCACUAGAUGUCAUAUGCCUUGAUUUAUUUAGACUUCAGAUACAAUCUGUCACUGCACACUUGUUCUGAAGCUGAAGGAGAGUGGCUAGAUGAUUUAGCUGUUGGAGUGGUAAAAAUAUUUGUCUUGAGUGCUGGGUUCAAGGAGUAGCACUCCUUGGCUUGGUGUCCACCAGAGGUGGCAGAUGCCUAAUGUAUUACCACCAGGGUCUGUACUAUGGUAUUACUUUUAUCAAUGACCUGGAUAAUAACAGCAAUUAAAUCCCUAUCAAAUUUGCAGGUGUUAUUUAAUUAGAUGGGAUGUUUGAUGUUUCAAAACAUCCAGAACUUUUGGGUAAGAUGGAGAAAUUUGAAGCCUAGACAAACAAGAACUUUACAACAGGAACUCUUUACAACCAAGAGGAGUACUCAUGGAGUACUCAUAGUACCAUACACUGGUACUACCUGGGAACCAUCUGGCUGAGUAGCAGCCCUCACCAGAAGGACCUAGAGGUUAUGAUGGAUGCUAUGUUAAAGAUGUGCUGACAGUGCACUGUCACAGCAAAUAAGGCAAAUAGCAGCAAUCUUCAUUAGAAAGAAAGUAGCCAAAAGCUUGAAGGGUGCUAGGUGAACGUGCGUAUUUCAGCAGGGUUACAACAGCUUGGUCUUGGCCAUGUUCUUCUCAUUCCACCUUGGAUGCUUUAUUGUUCUGAUGCAAACAGCACUGUGGCUUUGUUCAUGUAAAGACAUGGGAUAAUAAGAUCAAAGCUAUCUUGGGUACCGUUCUGUAGGUUCCAAUUACACCUCUGGUUGAAGUGCAGACAGAUAUUUACAUCUUGAUUUGCUUCUGGAAGUUCCCUCCUCUUCCUCUCCCACUCCCACCCUGCAGCUCAGUGUCUGAAGUCAACCUCAACUAAAUACCAGAAGACACCAGAAAUGUGAGACAGCUGCUCAGAUGCUCAGAGAAAUGACCUGAGAAGAAAGCGCCAGGUGACACAUCCCAGGAAAUGGAUCCUGUCCUAAAAGGAAAAUGCAUUCAUCAUUCAGAUAACUUCUGCCACUGAAAAGCCAUCUGGAUAAACAAGGAAAGAGUUACACAACCGUUGCACAGAUCCCCAUCCCUUCCUGUCCACUUGUAGAAAGGCAGAUGUGUUAAACAAGGCUUCAGCUGUGGGCAGAGAAGAGAAUGGGAGACCGUGGGGGAGGAAGCACAGCCUGGAAUUCCUGAGGCUAGCAGUAAGGAGAGCAAGUGCUGUGUUUCCAUCAUCAGAUCCUUUGUGUCAUACACAAUACUCAUAACUGGAAGUUGGGCAGCAAAGACCUCAGACCAACACAGCUGUGCCACCAGGAGAAAAUGGAAACUGGGAUUCUCAGAUAUCCACCUGCAGAAUCUCGUUUUCUGCAGCUUCUCCACUUCUGAACAAGGCAUUGCUAAAGUGUCAUCACAGGAUCCAUCUUCUUCCUACACCUCAACCGCACUACUGCCCAGGUAGCGAGUCUUCACUGCAAGAGGUGGUCAUCAGCUGACCACUCUGCGUUAGCUGUCCUCACUCAGCAGCCCUGUGCUCCCUCAUUCCUCCCAGAUGCCUCUCCUUCUGCUCUCCAGCAGCUGCCAAGAUAUUUUCAGAUCUUUCCCGUGUGCCCCAUGCCUUCCAGAAGGAAGGAGGAAGUUGGAGAUGUCUGAUGACUUCGGGAGGCAAGAGGAGAGUCUGAAAUUCAGUAGAUACCAUUGGAGCACUGUCAUGACUUUCUACAAAGCCAGAAUACAGAAGGAAUAAAUUAUUGCUAAAGAUUCACAGGCUGACAAGAACUGUAUCAGGAAGCGGCUGGAAGACAUUUUCGUUAGUGUUACCAUUUAUAGCUAUAAAUAUUAGGAGAAGCAUUAACCAAAGAAAGCCUAUUGUCACCUGCCUCCAAAGGCAAGAGAAAUCUUUGAGGAAGAGCCAUGUUCAGUGCUGUUUUUUCAGUUUGGAGAGGGUCAACACUGAAAUCUGACCGGUAGCCUCAAAAAAUAAUUGAAACCUAUACCCCUUCAAACCAAGAAGAAAUGGAGUACUGCAGAGACCUCACUCCCCCUCAUUCAAGAGGAAAGUCUAUAGGCCAAGCUGGGAAGCCAUAGCAAUCUGUGUGAAUUCACAGACUGAGCUGAAUCCCUCAUAAAUAGUGGAAUAUUGUCUGGGAGAAAGUCCAUUAUGAGAACAGUCUUGGAAGCUAGCUAGAAUAUGGCAAAUCUAUUGAGCAGCUGAGAUAACAAGAACACACGCAGGAGAGUUAAGGGCAGAAGGAAAUGGGUGUACAGUGUGUGUCAUAAAUUACAAAAGGAGAGUAAGCAGGGUGUGCAUGGGAGACUGAAUGCUGUGAGCAAAGGUCAGGACCAGACACUGCAAUGAAAAGGUGCAUGUGUGAUGCAGCAGAAGCUGUAACCUAACUCGUCUGUAGGAAAAUUCACAAGGAGAUGGGAAAGGAAAUAUUUUUAUUUACUUUUUUUCCUCUCCUGCCAAAUACUGUGGGUCAUUAGCUGGGACAAGCUGUUGGUAACAGAGCAGGCUCUCAAGAGACCAAGUUCUUACGUCCCAGCUCUGAGGCUGCCAGUUAAAGCUGAGGCAUCUCAGAGAGUCACAUCAUUUACAGAGACCAGCAUUCCCCACAGGACUGGCCUGGGAUGCCUGGCUGCAGUGCCAGAGGCAAGCUGGGGUUGUUUCUCAUCACAGAAGUGAAGGCAGCAGAGUUUAAGGGAAAUGAGAAGGCGAAGGCUGGCCUGUUUGAUUCAAAUAGUCCCUUCUAGCAUAAAGGGAGAUGCUGUAGACAAUCCCAGUUUGUGGCAUGAGCUCUCCUCUGAGUACUUCUAGAGAGGCAUUUAAAUCCCUGCUCUACACUCAUGCUGCAAAAGCCAUGGAUCGGGAUCAGACCCAGGGAUGUUUGUCCUGUUUCAGUAUUGUAAGUGCAGGUUCCUCCCCCAGUGCUCAGGGGAAGGGCUGUGCAGUGACAGAGCUGUAAUUUACACUGCAGUUGAUGAUGUGGGCUUCAGUCUUUAUUUUUACUGUUCAAAUCCUCUGUGUCCUGUGACUUUGUUCCUCAUUCAUAAACGGUGAAAAAUAUCACUUCCUCAUUCUGAAGAAGAAAUAGAGCGAAUAGCUUGAGAUGUGAUGCUGCAUCUUUAGGAGCCACGGAAUACUGCAGCUGUGAAAUAUGGCUGUUCUUGCAUAAAAUAUUUGCAUGCAGUGUUACUUGCAGAGGGAGAAUCAACCUGAAGCAUGAGCUUUACUGCUGAAUUGCAGGGAAGGAAAACUGCACGACAGCCUGAACUCCUGUAUGAUUGCAUCCCAUUCCCCAUCCCCACCACUCAGCUUGACAUAUUUAAAAUCUCUAGAGAUCCUCCUUUAAGAUACCAGUGCUUCCCAUUGUGCUGGCUUUUAUUGGAUUUCGGGUGCCAUUCAGUCAACCCCCCCCUCAGCCACUCGAAUUCUUGAAAUGCUGGGAUCAUAUUUCACCUGAUCUGGCACUGAACCAUGUUCGCUAUCUCACCCCAAAAUUAAUUAAACCAUAAAUUUUCAGAAUAAACAUGAAGC